ACUCCUACGGGAGGCAGCAGUAGGGAAUCUUCCACAAUGGGCGCAAGCCUGAUGGAGCAACACCGCGUGAGUGAAGAAGGGUUUCGGCUCGUAAAGCUCUGUUGUUAAAGAAGAACACGUAUGAGAGUAACUGUUCAUACGUUGGCGGUAUUUAACCAGAAAGUCACGGCUAACUACGUGCCAGCAGCCGCGGUAAUACGUAGGUGGCAAGCGUUAUCCGGAUUUAUUGGGCGUAAAGAGAGUGCAGGCGGUUUUCUAAGUCUGAUGUGAAAGCCUUCGGCUUAACCGGAGAAGUGCAUCGGAAACUGGAUAACUUGAGUGCAGAAGGGGUAGUGGAACUCCAUGUGUAGCGGUGGAAUGCGUAGAUAUAUGGAAGAACACCAGUGGCGAAGGCGGCUACCUGGUCUGCAACUGACGCUGAGACUCGAAAGCAUGGGUAGCGAACAGGAUUAGAUACCCCUGGUAGGAUAGCG
rnacentral:rRNA from 1 species